CAUCUUUUCUCAUUUCUACUUCAACACUUAGAGAAAAAGAAGAGCAAGAACUUGGAGGGCACAACUCCCCCAUAGCUCUCGGCUAGCACCAAGAAAAAACAACCCCAUUUUUUUAGCUUCUCUAAAAUUAUUUCCUUUGUGUUAACCCACUAAUUAGAGGUCCCUAAGUGGCGUGAAAGUAUUGUUUGGGUCAUCCAACCAUCCGUUGUGUCAAAUAGCAAACCCUAGCCAUUUGUGCAAUUGAAGGAGAAAGACCUUGGGGAGCCCGAGGCGUAGUUGGGAUUAACUUUAGAUUGGCUAGCUUGGAAUGCGUACGAGACCCCCCUUUCUUCGGGGGGCUGCGUUUCAUGCCCGCAGGUACAGACGCACAGUUUGGUGAUUCACCAGUUUAGGACAUCCCCUUCUGCUGUUUGGAGUGCUUUUCUCAUUUCAGAACACAUAUGUUGGUAUAUAUAUUUGUUCGCCGAGUAUGUAUAUAUAUUUGUUCAGGGGUACAGCGGGGCCCUGUCCCGCCAUAUGAUUCGUUUGGUCUGUUUAGAGGUCUGUAGACGUAGUUGUGGGUGUGUGUGCCUACUUCUGUUCCGAUGUGUUUGUAUGAUGCUAUUCGUUAUGGCAGCCUUGUCGGCGUGCAUUUGUAUCUGUGUUUUGGGCCGUUGUGCCAAUUGACAGCCUUGUCGGCUUUUGACAUAUUUGACAGCCUUGUCGGUUUUUGACACAUUUGGUAGCCUUGCCGGCUUUUUGAUAUAUGUGCACAUGUUCGGCGAUGUAUAUUCCGCCGCCUUUUCUGAUUCUGAUAUAAUGUUUUGUACGCGCAAUCGCGCAAGAUAAUAUUCGUUCUCAACUCUGUUUAAAAAUGAUGAAUAUGAAAUCUGUAUUUAGCUUUGCUAUGA